rnacentral:lncRNA from 1 species
UCUAUAUCGUAUAGACCCUAGAAAAUUAAGAGAAAAAAAGAGAAGAAGAAAAAAUUACAAGAAACAAAAAAAAGCAAAAAUUAAGAGAGAAGAAGAGAAGGCCUUGAGAUUGUUCGAGAAGUGAAAGAGAAUCCAUAGCGGAAGAGAAAAAAUGAAUCCAAACAGUGAAAAACUAUAGGAGAAUUGAAGAAAAGAGGAACAAUAAGGAA